CCUACGGGGGGCAGCAGUGGGGAAUAUUGCACAAUGGAGGAAACCCUGAUGCAGCGACGCCGCGUGAGUGAAGAAGGAAUUCGUUAUGUAAAGCUCUAUCAGCAGGGAAGAAAAUGACGGGACCUGAGUAAGAAGCCCCGGCUAACUAAGUGCCAGCAGCCGCGGGAAUACGUAGGGGGCAAGCGUUAUCCGGAUUUACUGGGUGUAAAGGGAGCGUAGACGGCAGUGCAAGUCUGGAGUGAAAGGCGGGGGCUCAACCCCCGGACUGCUCUGGAAACUGUUCGGCUGGAGUGCAGGAGAGGUAAGUGGAAUUCCUGGUGUAGCGGUGAAAUGCGUAGAUAUUAGGAGGAACACCAGUGGCGAAGGCGGCUUACUGGACUGUAACUGACGUUGAGGCUCGAAAGCGUGGGGAGCAAACAGGAUUAGAUACCCGAGUAGUC
rnacentral:rRNA from 1 species